rnacentral:rRNA from 1 species
CCUACGGGUGGCUGCAGUGAGGAAUAUUGGUCAAUGGGCGUAAGCCUGAACCAGCCAAGUCGCGUGAGGGAUGAAGGUUCUAUGGAUCGUAAACCUCUUUUAUAAGGGUAUAAAGUGUGGGACGUGUCCUAUUUUGUAUGUACCUUAUGAAUAAGGAUAGGCUAACUCCGUGCCAGCAGCUGCGGUAAUACGGAGGAUCCGAGCGUUAUCCGGAUUUAUUGGGUUUAAAGGGUGCGUAGGCGGCCUUUUAAGUCAGCGGUGAAAGUCUGUGGCUCAACCAUAGAAUUGCCGUUGAAGCUGGGGUGCUUGAGGAUGUUUGAGGCAGGCGGAAUGCGUGGGGUAGCGGUGAAAUGCUUAGAUAUCACGCAGAACCCCGAUUGCGAAGGCAGCCUGCCAAGCCAUGACUGACGCUGAUGCACGAAAGCGUGGGGAUCAAACAGGAUUAGAUACCCUAGUAGUC